rnacentral:rRNA from 1 species
AAUGAACGCUGGCGGCAUGCCUAACACAUGCAAGUCGAACGAAGGCUUCGGCCUUAGUGGCGCACGGGUGCGUAACGCGUGGGAAUCUGCCCUUGGGUUCGGAAUAACAGUUAGAGAUGACUGCUAAUACCGGAUGAUGUCGUAAGACCAAAGAUUUAUCGCCCAAGGAUGAGCCCGCGUAGGAUUAGCUAGUUGGUGAGGUAAAGGCUCACCAAGGCGACGAUCCUUAGCUGGUCUGAGAGGAUGAUCAGCCACACUGGGACUGAGACACGGCCCAGACUCCUACGGGAGGCAGCAGUGGGGAAUAUUGGACAAUGGGCGAAAGCUUGAUCCAGCAAUGCCGCGUGAGUGAUGAAGGCCUUAGGGUUGUAAAGCUCUUUUACCCGGGAUGAUAAUGACAGUACCGGGAGAAUAAGCUCCGGCUAACUUCGUGCCAGCCGCCGCCGUAAAAC